UAGCGUAGGUGGCGAGCGUUGUCCGGAAUUACUGGGUGUAAAGCGCGCGUAGGCGGUAGGCCAAGUCUGCUGUGAAAUCGCCCGGCUCAACUGGGCGCGGUCGGUGGAAACUGGUCAACUGGAGGACGGUAGAGGCGAGUGGAAUUCCCGGUGUAGUGGUGAAAUGCGUAGAGAUCGGGAGGAACACCAGUGGCGAAGGCGGCUCGCUGGGCCGGACCUGACGCUGAGGCGCGAAGGCGUGGGGAGCGAACAGG
rnacentral:rRNA from 1 species